UAGCUCAGUGGUUUGAGCAUUGACCUGCUAAAUCAAGGGUGUGAGUUCAAUCCUCAA
rnacentral:tRNA from 1 species